rnacentral:lncRNA from 13 species
AUGUUCUUGACCUAUGAACAAGAUUUACUCACUGUCUUGGAGGCUGUGCUAAGGAGAAUGGAAGAGAGUAAAUAUUCCUUUGGUGUGUGCUCAACCACAGAGCUUCUGUCUGCAGAGGUUAAAAAUUACUACACAGCUUCUUUUACUGGCUUUAUGUCUUUCUCAGUGGAGACACCUGAAUCCAAUUCUAACUUGCACUAAGAUGGGGAAGCUAAAAGCAGACUUGGGUUAUGCCUGCAGCUGCACAGAGAUGUAUGGAAGCAGAAACACAACUCUCCCUCCCACAUAAGCAAGAUGAGGAGACACAGAAACAUUCCGAGGCUGUGAUAAGCUCUCCCGCUCUGAACCCUUAAUUUUAACCGCUCCUGAAUCUACUUGGCCAGAAGGCCCUCUCAGGUUUAUUCUUUAAAAUAAACCUGUCUCUAUUAAGCUGCUUUUCA